GGGUCCGGAGAAGGAGCAGGUACAGCGGCCGGACUCCCGGGUCUGAAUGAACAGGGAGCUGGAGGCUUAGCCUCCUGGUUCCCGGAGAGGAGGGCGCUGGAGACCCAGAUUCUUGGGUCAGACAAAGGAGAGGGUCGUGGGGGUCGCUGGGGGGGCUCCGGACUCCCGGGUCCUUGGGGACAAAUACGAGGGAGGCUGGGGGAGGAAAGCGCUGGGGUCCCGGACUGCUGGGUCCCCGGGUAGGGUGCGGGGUGGUGGACGACUCCGGGUCCUAUGGGACUGAACUGGAGCCCUCCCACCUCUUGUUCCUGUCCCUAGGGCUGGAUCCCCAAGAUCUUCAAGAAGAAGACAUGCACGACAUUCAUCGUUGACCCCACAGACUCGGGGUGAGGAACUCGCCCCAGGGACCGAGCUCAGAGCAUCCCCGGAGCGUCCCCGGAGCGUCCCGGCCCACCGACCCCACUCACCUACCCCCCCACCCCCUUAUGUCAUUGCGGACACUCCCAAGGGCGUUCCCGGUGGCGCUCUCCCUCGGGGGAGGGUUUGGGUCCCUGUGGACGCUUCCAAUUUCCCUUGCCUGGUCAGAGUCAGUGUUAAAGCCCCAGGGCUUGGUUCUGUUUCUUUCCUUCCCUGCGUCUCCUCUUUGUGUCUCCUUGCCUCACUUUCUCCUUUGGCUGUUUCUGUUUCAUUCAUUCAUUCAUUCAUUCAUUCGUCCGUCCGUCCAUCCAAGAAGCCUUCAUUCGGUGCUCCCAAGGGAGCACAAUUAUCGGGAGCACGGGCCCUGCCAGGGUUCAAAUGUCACCUGGGAUUGGUGCUGUGUGGCUUUGGGUAAAUCAUUUCACCUCUCUGGGCCUCAUCUGUCACCUGGACAGACAGACAGGCCGCCUCCUGAGUGGAGCAUGUAUUGUGAGGAUUUAAACAAGUAAACGCUUGUGAUGUUUCUGGAACAGCGCCCAGCACAUGGUUUGCGCUGGAAAAGGCCUGCCAUCCCCCCCUGGAAGAUAGCAGUUACCACCGUGCGCGGGCCCCGUGCGCGGGCUCGGUGCCCGGGGCCACUUGCGUGAGUCCCGUGGGGUGUUUGCCUCCCUUGAGGAGCUCCCGGCUUUCAGUGACGGUCUCGCCAGUGGAUUCUGGCCUUGUGGUUGUCUUCAAGACAAUCUCUGGGGCGUGGGAAAUGUCAGCAUUCCUAACGUUGAGUGUGCUGUGAACACAUUAGCACAGUGUGGCUUGCGAUUAUGUAUAAAUAAACAGAUCUACAUUACUGGGGGGGGUGAGUGCUCUAAACCCUUCUGCUGAUGGGGAGUGUGGCCAAGGCAGUUUCGGAACCUCUGGGCUGGUGGGAAGAGGACCAGAAGGCAUGGAGACAGGAACUCGGCAAGACUGCAGCUGGCCCUGCGGGAGCCCCGAGGAGAGUCUGGCUAAGGCUGGGGAGGGGACACAGGGUGUCACUGGUGGCUAGUGGAGGAGGAGGAGCCAAGGAAGUGGCAUUUGAAGGGUGAGUUGGAGUUUGACAGUUGAAGGCAGUAUAGAGAGAAGAGGUGGGGUGGGGGGUGGGGGGUGAAGGUGGUUCCAGGUACGGGAUGUGCAGCAUGGGCGGUGUGGCUGGAGAAUGGAGCGAAGUUCAAGGUGCAGGAGGGCUCUGUGGCGGAGGGUGGGGCCGGACGGCUCUGGGCCUCACCGGCGGGGACCUUGGCCUGGGGGUGCUGGGGUGCUGUGGGAGGGGCGGGGUCAGCUCUGGGUGUGGAAAGACCCGCUGGGACUUGUGUCAGGUUGAAUAGGAGUUCUGGAAGGCCCGGAAGAGGCUGGGCUAGGGUCUGGGUGGGACCAGAAGAGGCCUGAGCCAGGCCACAGCUGUGGGGACACAGGGCUGGGACAGGGGCAGGAGCUUGGGGACUGAUGGAUUUCAGGAGUAAGAGGGGAGUGAGAAGGGGGACGAUGGCUCCUGGACCUCUGGUCUGGGACCUGGGAGACAGUCGGAUUGUCCCUGAGAUGGAGAAUCCAGGAGGAGGAGGGGCUGUGCUGGUAAUUCUAAGACUUGGGUUUUUUUGUUCGUUUUUGGUUUUUUUUUCACGGAAGAGUAUUUUUUUUUUUUAGAGAGAAAGAGUGGGAGAGGGGCAGAGAGAGAGGGAGACAGAGAAUCCCAAGCAGGCUCGGAGCCUGACAGGGGGCUCGAACCCACGAAUUGUGAGAUCAUGACCUGAGCCAAAAUCAAGAGUCGCACGCUUAACCUCCUGAGCGCCCCAGGUGCCCCGCGUGGAAGCGUAUUUUUGGAAACCUGUCUCUGAACACCUGAAAACAAACAUGCCACCUCAGGCCACCCCAGUUGCUAGCACAUCCACAGGUUUUCCACCUCCUGCUUCUUUCCCUUGCGUUCCUUGCUUGGCCUCUGGGGGCAUCGAGUUUGAGACCCAAGUUGGGAAGCCAUGUGGCCCAGGGUUCUGGGAGGCGCAGAGAGAGAGAGAGAGAGAGAGAGAGAGAGCGAAGGCCACGAAUGAUGCCGGGACAAGGCAGCUAGGGAAGGAGGGGUUCCCUGCCAAGGAAAGGAAAGGGUGUUUUAGACUCAGAGCCUUUUAGCAGUGACCAGUGCUAUUUAAUGAUAGUCACCUGAGACCUGAAUAGGGGCCAUUGUAUUUGGGGACAUGUCGGUAAUUGCUGAUGUUAUCAGGAACAGUUUCAGCUCUGGCGACUUCACAGAGGAAGAAAGGUAGGAGGUGAGAAGUGCAGAGAGGGAGUCUGCCAGUUCUGCUCACCAGAACUUUCUGCAAUGGGGGCAGUGUUCCGAAUCCAUAUCCAAUAUGGCAGCCACUGGCCACAUGUGGUUCCUGAGCACUUGAAACGUGGCCAGAGCUGAAUUUUUUAUUGUAUUUAAUUUUAAUUUAUUUAAAUGUAAAGAGCCACCAGUCGGUUAAGUGUAGGACUGCUGAUCUCGGUUCAGGUCAUAACGUCACAGCUCGUGAGUUCAAGCCCCAUGUCCGGCCCUGCGCUGAUAAUACAGGUCCUGCUUGGGAUUCUCUGUCUCCGUCUCUCUCUGCCCCUGCCCCACUUGUGCUGUCUCCCCCGACUCCAAAAAUAUAUAUAAAUAAAUAAACUUAAAAAAAUUAUUUUAAAAAGGUGUAAAGAGCCACAUGCGGCUAUGGUCUACUGUAUUAGACGGCUGAGGUUCUGGAACGUUCCAUGAAGGAGUUUUGCCUACAGGGCUAGUGGGAAGUAGAUGGACGGUAAUGAGGGGGUCCAGGGGUGGGGUUGAAAUAGGUGAAAGGAUCAAGAGGGUAAACUGAGGCAUGCCGGGUCCCUGAAGGUAGACUCAGAAAUGAAGAAGGAUGUGUCCUUCACUGUAGUUCUCUGUGCCAGGAGUUGGGCUGAGUGUAUUCUGUUCAUCCUGUGUGGAUUGGUGGCCAUUCUUUUACGUGUGGAUUGGUCCUUAAGUCGAGGCUGGCUCCACUUAGGUAAAUGCGGGUCUCUUCUGGAGUCAGGGACCGAAGACAUUUAGAUACAUUUUCUUUUAUUUUCUUUUAAUUUUUUUUUUUGUUGUUGAUUUAUUUUUGAGAGAUAGAGCACGAGCAGAGGAGGGGCAGAGAGAGAGGGAGACACAGAAUCCGAUGCAGGCUCCAGGCUCUGAGCUGUCAGCACAGAGCCGGACACGGGGCUUGAACUCACGGACCGCGAGAUCGGGACCUGAGCCGAAGUUGGACGCUCAACCGACUGAGCCACUCAGGCGCCCCUAGAUACAUUUUCAAGUAAAUCCCUCACUCGCCAAACCCAUGCCGCUUGCUCUUUAAAAGGCAGGUGCCAAUCAUUUGCGCAUUUAAAGCAAAAAGCUUCAUCCAUGAUUACCGUAAAUGGAAAAACCUCCAUUUGCCACAAAGAGAAAGAAACAAGCAGGAAGAGACGAUUACAAUGAAAAGCAAAAAAAAAAAAAGUAAUGGGUCCCAGCCAAUAAACACCAGAGUGAGUUCAAAAAAAUAAAUAUAAAGGGGGGAAAAAAGAGUAAUGGGGUGCCUGGCUGGGUCAGUCGGUGGAACGUGGGGCUCUUGAUCUCCCCGUGGUGAGUUCGACCUCCACGCUGGGUGUAGAGAUCACUUAAAGAAAUAAAUAAGCUUAAAAAAGAAAAAGUGUAACAAAGGGGUAGGCGUUAAGGAUCUUCUAGCGCCCAGCUUAAGCCUCUCUCCUCGACGGGAAUCAGGAGCACUGGAAAAGAAAUGACUUUCUCGCUGUGUCAUUCGAGGUUAUUUAAAGCUCUGUGUGGCGUGUCCCGUGGAGCGGUUUCUCCGCCUGAGUCUGGUAGGCAGCCCUCGUUUCAGAAAACGCUGUGUUGUUUCCCUGACGCCUCAUAAUUCCACGGAGGAGGCUGUGUUACCGUUGUCUUUUGAUUUGAGGAGGAAACGUGGGCUCAGAGAGGUGAAGCCCAAGGCCACGCAGCUGCCGCCCCCCCCCCCCCCCCCCCCACCAAGUGCUCUCUGGAUCGCUCUGAAUUUUCCUUGUACUGAUGGCCGCUGGCCCUUCUCCCUGCAGGUAGCUGUGAGGGUGGGACCCUGUGCUUGAACCACUGCGGCUUCUGUCUGGUGGGCAAGUGGCUCUGGCUGAUUUUCGCCUCAGGGUCAGCAUGGGCCGUGGGGCUCUUCUGCAGGAAACUUUAAUGAGAGUCCCGGGGGACACCCCUGGGGUUCAUGGUCCCCCAUCCCCCUCCUCCCCAGAGGAAACUUGUGCCAGUGCGGGCGUCCCCGGAGUGUCCACCCGUCAGUGGCCGUGGAGGAUGCAUUUGGGGCAGCCGUGGUGACCGUGUGGGACAGUGACUUGCACACCACAGAGAAGCCGACGGAUGCCUACGGGGACCUAGAUUUCCUGGGCGCCGGCCGCAAGGCCAGCAAUGUGAGGCUUGCCUGUCUGGGCGGGGCUGGGGUCCGGGAGCGGAAGCUGCAUGCCUCGGGGGUUCUCAGAGUUAGAGUCUGGGGGUGCCGCAGCUGAACGCUGUGUCUCCCCAUUUCCCAUCCCUGUCUUCGCUUCUCCCUGGAUCUCUCUCCCUCCACCCCUGUCUGUCUUUUCCAAAUCAUCCUCCCUCUCUCUGGGUCUCUGUCCCUCUCCCCCCACCCCCACCCCCACCCCCACCCCCCAUCUCUGUUCUCUGGGUCUCUGUCCCUUUCUCUGUUUCUGUGCCUUUCUCUCUGGGUUUCUGUCCCCUCCUCUGUCUCUGCCCCUUUCCCCGUGUCCCCUCCUCCUGUGUGUCCGCAGUUCCUCCGGCUCUCUGACCGCACGGAUCCAGCUACCGUUUACAAUCUGGUCACGCGCACGUGGGGCUUCCGGGCCCCGAACCUGGUGGUGUCAGUGUUGGGGGGGUCAAGGGGCCGCGUCCUCCAGACCUGGCUGCAGGACCUGCUGCGACGCGGGCUGGUGCGGGCUGCCCAGAGCACAGGUGACUGAGGCUGGGUGGCCGCUGCCCAUCCCCCCCGCAUCGCUGGCAUGCGGUCUCCCCGCGGCUCUGCAUGGGUUUUUGUCUCACUCUCUCUGUCUCUCCACACCUGUGUCUCUGGGCCUCACCAUCACUCUCUGUGUCUCCCUGUAGGGGCCUGGAUUGUCACCGGGGGGCUGCACAGGGGCAUUGGCCGGCACGUUGGUGUGGCUGUUCGAGACCACCAGACAGCCAGCACUGGGGGCACCAAGGUGGUGGCCAUGGGCGUGGCCCCCUGGGGUGUGGUUCGGAAUAGAGAGCUCCUCACCAACCCCAAGGUGGGACCCAGAGUCUUGGAAGAGGAGGGGGCUGGGAAUCCUGGGUCUGAGGGAGGAGGGGCUGGUGUCUGUCCUCCUGGUCCUGAUGGGAGAAACGCUCUUGUCUGGCCCCUCGCCCCCCGCCACCCCACCCCCACCCCCUCCCCCUCCCACCCCCCCACCCCACCCCCAGGGCUCAUUCCCUGCGAGGUAUCCGUGGCGCGGUGAGCCGGACGACGGGGUCCAAUGUCCGCUCGAUUACAACUACUCGGCCUUCUUUUUGGUGGAUGACGGCACCCAUGGCCGCCUGGGCGGGGAGAACCGCUUCCGCUUGCGCUUUGAGUCCUAUGUCGCCCAGCAGAAGACGGGCGUGGGAGGUGAGUGGCUGUUUCCACUCGGGACAGCAGCCCGAGGCUCCCGAUCCCAGUGGUUGAGGUUUGGGGAUUGAGGGACCGAGGAAUUACCACUGGUCAAGCGUCUUGUCCCAUUAUUUGCUCUGUUUUGAAAAAUCUUUAUCUCGAAAUGUAAGCUACACAAGAGUGGAUGGCUCGGGGGAGGUUUUACACUGACCCCGCGUGGGCAGCCCGCACCCAGAUCAAGAAAUUACUGGCCCCCAGAAGCCUUCUCCCUCCUGCACCCGAGGGUCACCCCGGUCCUGCCCUUAGGGCGUGGAAUGGUUCUGACCCUGUUUAUGCUUCCUGUGAAUAGAUUUCACCAUCUGUACGUUUUGGAGUCUGGCUUGUGAUAAUAUUAUUUCUGUGAGAUUCAUCCAUAUCAUUGCAGGAGUUGUAGUCUGUAAAUAACCCAUGGGUUAAAAGAAGCUAGGAAAUAUUUUCAACUGCAUGAUAAAAAACAUAUCACAUAUCAGCACUUUGGGGAUGCAGCUAAAGCAGUAUCUAGAGGGAAAUUUGUAGCUUUAAAAUGCAUAAAUCGAAAAAAGAAGAGGGGCACCUGGGUGGCUCAGUUGGUUAAGCAUCCAACUCUUGGUUUCACGUUUUUUAUUUAUUUUUGAGACAGAGAGAGCAUGAAUGGGGGAGGGGCAGAGAGAGAAGGAGACACAGAAGUGGAAGCAGGCUCCAGGCUCUGAGCCAUCAGCCCAGAGCCCGACGUGGGGCUCGAACUCACGGACCGCGAGAUCGUGACCUGAGCUGAAGUCGGACACUUAACCGACUGAGCCACCCAGGCGGCCCCCAACUCUUGGUUUCAGCUCAGGUCAUGAUCUCAUGGUUUGUGGGUUCGGGCCCCACAUCGGGCUCUGGGCUGAUGGCAUGGAGCCUGCUUGGGAUUCUGUCUCCCUCUCUCUCUGCUGCUCCCCUGCUCGUUCUCUAUCUCUCUCUCUCUCAAAAAUAAAUAAAUAAACAUUAAAAAAAGUUUUUGAAAAAAAAAAAAAAAGAAGAAACACUGAAUAUCAAGAGUUUAAGGCUCCAAUUGAGAAAAACAAACAAACACACAAAACUUAGAGGGGCCCCUGGCUGGCUCAGUCAGUAGACCCUUGGGCUCCUGAUUUCCAGGUUGUGAGUUUGAACCCCACGUUGGGUGUAGAGAUUACUUAAAAGUGAAAUCUUACAAAAAAAUUAAAUGAACAAACCCCUAGAACCAGAAUAGCAAAUCAAACCUGGGAAAAGUAGAAGCAAGGAAAUAAUAAAGACAAGGGCGGAAAUCAAUAAAAUAGGGAAAGGGACACCUGGGCGGCUCACUCAGUUACAUGUGGGACUCUUGAUUUUGGCUCAGGUCACGAUCUUAUGGUUUGUGAGAUGGAGCCCCGCGUCGGUCUCGCAUUGACAGUGCACAGCUUGCUUGGGAUUCUCUCUCCUUCUCUCUCUCUGCCUCUCCCCUGCAUUUGCACCAUCUGUAAAUAAACAAAUAAGUAAGUAAGUAAAUAAAUAAAAUAGGAACAAAUGUGCAGUGGAGAAAAUCAACUAAACCCAAAGCUGUUUCUUUGUAAACAUUUUUUAUCUUUUAAAAAGUAUCCACGGAAUGCCUGGCUGGCUCAGUUGGUGGAGCAGAAGGCUCUUGAUCUCCGGGUUGUGGCCUCCAGCCCCAUGUUGGGCGUAGAGAUUACUUAAGAACAAAAUUAAUCUUUUUUUUUUUAAUGUUUAUUUUUGAGAGAGAGACAGAGCAUGAGAGGGGAGGGGCAGAGAGAGAGAGAGGGAGACACAGAAUCGGAGGCAGGCUCCAGGCUCUGAGCUGUCAGCACAGAACCUGACGCGGGGCUGGAACCCAUGACCCGCGAGAUCAUGACCUGAGCCGAAGUCUGACGCUUAACCGACUGAGCCACCCGGGCGCCCCAAUUUAUCUUUUUUUUUUUUUUUUUUAACUUCUCUCUCAAAAUAAAUAAAUAAACAUUAAAAAAAGAAAUAAUUUCUUAAAACAAUAUUUAUUUAUUUUGAGUGGAGUUUCCAGUUUUCUGAGAGUGUAAACCAUGUUUUCUUCCAAUAGAUCCCUUUGUCUUUUCCAGCUCGAAAAAAGACGAGUUUGUACUACAGUUUUACUUUCUUGCGUUAUUACAUUGGCUCAAUACUCAUGUAUGAGUGUGAAUAGGAGUAAUGUUAUCUUGUUCGUUAUUUUAAUGGGAAUAGAGUUAGUAGAAAACUAUCCGAGAUGAUUUUGCUGUUGGGCUUUGGGAAAGGUCUUUAUUAUAUUUAGGUAGUCCUUUCUUGGGCACCUGGGUGGCUCAGUUGGUCGAGAGUACAACUUCCGCUCAGGUCAUGAUCUCAAGGUUUGUGAGCUUGAGCCCCGCACGGAGCUCACGGCUGUCAGCUCGGAGCCUGUUUUGGAUCCUCCCUCUCUGUGCACCUCCCCCGCUUACGCUGUCUCUCAAAAAUAAAUAAAAACAUUUAGACAGUCCUCUCUUUCUUUUCUUUUUCUUUUAUUUUUUUUAACGUUUAUUUAUUGUUGAGAGACAGAGAGACACAAAACGUGAGCAGGGGAGGGGUAGAGAGAGGGGGAGACAUAGAAGCCGAAGCAGGCUGCAGGCUCUGAGCUGUCAGCACAGAGCCCGACGCGGGGCUCGAACUCACAAAACUGUGAGAUCAUGACGUGAGCCAAAGUUGGAUGCUUAAUCGACUGAGCCAUCCAGACGCCCCUAAAGAUUUUAUUUUAUUUUAUUUUUUAUUUUUUUAAUUUUUUUUUCAACGUUUAUUUAUUUUUGGGACAGAGAGAGACAGAGCAUGAAUGGCGGGAGGGGCAGAGAGAGAGGGAGACACAGAAUCGGAAACAGGCUCCAGGCUCUGAGCAGUCAGCCCAGAGCCUGACGCGGGGCUCGAACUCCCGGACCGCGAGAUCGUGACCUGGCUGAAGUCAGACGCUUAACCGACUGCGCCACCCAGGCGCCCCAAGAUUUUAUUUUUAAGUAAUGUCUACACUCAACAUGGGGGUCAAACUCAGAACCCUGAGAUCAAGAGCCUCUUGCUCUACUGACUGAGCCAGCCAGGUGUCCCUAGAUAGGCCUUUCUGUUCCUUAUUUCCUUCGUCUUUUGUUUGAACUUCAUCCUUUCCUGGCUCCUGGGCCAUUAACCAGUUAUAGGAGUGACUCAUACCAUAAAUACCUGCCUCAGUCAGGAGUCCAGGAGUCCAGGCCACCAGCCCUUACUCCCCUGGCAAGCCGAAAUUGACUGCCCCUCCCAACGUGCUCAAAGAUAUGACAAUUCCCGUGAGCCUCAGGACACAGGAUUACACAGAAGCCAUGUUUGUCCCGGGGACUCAUGGGAAACGUGGUUCUUUCCCAUCCCUGGCAAAGGCUGAUAGGAGUUGACCAAGCUUCUGGGUUUCUCUCUCCUCAGGGACUGGAAUUGACAUCCCUGUCCUCCUCCUCCUGAUCGAUGGUGAUGAGAAGAUGUUAAAGGUAUAGGGGCCCGUGGGGCCCCUGGGGGCCUCAGUCGGUUGAGCAGCCGACUGUUGAUUUUGGCUCAGGUCACAGUGUCGCGGUCACGAGAUCGAGCCCUGCAUCAGGCUCUGUGCUGAGCAUUGGAGCCUACUUGAGAUUCUUCCUCUCUCUCUCUCUCUCUCUCUCCGGCUUGCACUCUCUUGCUCUAAAUCAAUAAAUCAAUAAUACAGGUGUGGGGGCCCAGACACCUCGGUCUAAGUGGGGGCCCUGACUCCUGGCUCCUGAGACUUGGGGGGGGGGGGGGGAGGCUGGGGAUCUGGACUCUGGGUGGGGCGAACACCUGCCUUCCCACACCUGACUGCCCCCCUUUGUCUAUCCUGUAGCGGAUAGAGAAUGCCACCCAGGCUCAGCUCCCCUGCCUGCUGGUGGCUGGGUCUGGGGGAGCUGCAGACUGCCUGGCGGAGAUUCUGGAAGACACUCUGGCUCCAGGGAGAGGGGGGAGCAGGCCAGGUGAAGUCCAAGAUCGGAUUAGGCGUUUCUUCCCCAAAGGGGACCCUGAGGUCCUGCAGGCCCAGGUAUGAUACUGGGGGUCCAACUCUGGAUCCUGAGAUGGGAGGGAGCUUUUUUCAGGGAAGAGGGGAAUGGAGGCCCAGACUCAUGGAUUUGGGGAGGAGAGGCCUGGGGGCCCAGCCUCCCAGGUUCUGGGGGGUGAAGGGUGCUGGCACCUAGACUACCAGGCCCUAGAGGGGAACGGUCUCCUGUGACCGUGGACGGGGCCCAGGUGGAGUUGGGCUGGGAGUUACAGAAGGUGGUAUUCCGCAGGUGGAGAGGAUCAUGACCCGGAAGGAGCUGCUGACAGUCUAUUCAUCUGAGGAUGGCCCUGAGGAAUUUGAGACCAUUGUUUUGAGGGCCCUUGUCAAAGGUGAGCCUCGGACCCCCAAACUCUUCCCUGCUCUCCGCUCGACUUUGGACCCCUUUCCCGCCCAGAGCACUUUAUCCAUUGUCUCUAAUCUACAUUGGGCUCCUUUUUGUCUCUUUCCUUUUAUUAUUCCCCUCGGCCGUGUUUCUUGGGGCUUUGCCUGGGGUCAUUUGGACAGUUUUCCCAAGAGACUUUCGUUAUGUGCCAACAUUGGUUUCUUUCUGUUGGAUCCACGAGUGCCCGCGUCCAUCUAUCUUUCAUCCGUCCAACCAUCCGUCCAUCCGCCCAUCCAUUCUCCCACUCUCCUUUUCUUCCUCUCCUACGUGGCUCCUCUGUUUCAAGCAGCGAGGGGUAGGGGAGUCAGAGAGGACCCAGAACGCUGCUUCCUGCUGAGAAAUUCCCAGUAUUUCACUAUUAGAAUGAAUGGCGAAAACCGAGGGUGGGAGCAUAAUGGCUACCUGGUAGAGGCUGGGCUGGGGAUCAUUUGUUCCCUCAGCAAACACCACCUUAGGGUCCAGAGAUCAAAGCGGAUCCAUUUCCUGCUCUCAAGGACCCCAGAUCCUACGAGGGUUGUUCCGACACAACGUUAAGUAAAAUUUAAGACCAAAGUGUAGGGGAGGAACCACUGUCAGUAAAGAGACAAGGAGGAGGUAUUUAAGUGGGCCUUGAAGGGCUCGUAGAAUCUGGACUUAGUAAGAUGAGGAAGUGGGAUAAAUAAAUGGUAAGGAGUAGGGGCACCUGGGUGGCUCAGUCGGUUGAGUGUCUGACUUCUGCUCAGGUUACGAUCCCGCGGCUUGUGAGUUCGAGUCCCACGUCGGGCUCUCUGCUGUCCACGCAGAGCCUACUUCGGAUCCUCUGUUCCUCUCUUGCCCUGCCCCUCCCCAGCUUGCGCUCUCUCAAAAAGAAACAUUAAAAAAAAAAUGGUAGAGUGGGGAGGGUCGUUUUUGGUGUCAGAAAUGUUAUCGGGGAAACACUCCCAUAGAUAAAAACUCCCGAGAGGCAUAGCGUCAAUUUAUUAAUUCGUUCUCAGCCCCAGGCCCCCACCCCAGGUGUAUCUGUCAUGUUCUGGGAUGUGACAGAAAGAGCAGUUACUCUUUUUUUUUUAAAAAAUAAUAUUUUUGAGAGAGAGAGAGAGAGAGGAGCAGAGAGAGAGGGAGACAGAAUCCCAAGCAAGCUCUGCACGGUCAGGGGUGAGCUCCAUGCGGGGCUCGUCACAAACCCUGAGAUCAUGACCUGAGCUGAAAUCAAGAGUCGGAUGCUUAACCGACACGAGCGGUUACUUUUGACUUUGGAGUCAGAUAAAGCUGAAUUGGAAUACCAGUUUGGUCCCUGCCUUUCUGUGGACCUUGAGAAAGAGACUACCCUCCUCUGAGCCUCAGUUUCUCUCUCUCUGAAAAAUGGAGAGAAUACCUUGCAGGAGUGUUGUGAGCCCCAGGGACAGCUCAUGAACAAUGCCUGGUUCCCACGGGCGGGCCAAUAAAUGGGAGCUCUUCUUCUCCUUCUUCUUUUAAUUUUUUUAAUGUUUAUUUAUUUUUGAGAGAGAGACAUAGUGCAAGUGGGGGAGGGGCAAAGAGAGAGAGACACACAGAAUCCAAAGCAGGCUCCAGGCUCUGAUCUCUUAGCACAGAGCCGGAGGUGGGACUCGAACUCACAGCCGGGAGAUCGUGACCUGAGCCAAAGUCGGAAGCUUAACCGCCUGAGCCCCCGGGGGGCCCCUACAUGGGAGCUCUUCUUAAUAUAAUUCCAUUUCUCGUAGGGACACAUUCUUUUUUUUUUUUUUUUUUUUAAUGUUUAUCUUUGAGACAGAGGGAGACAGAGCGUGAGUGGGGGAGGGGCAGAGAGAGAGGGAGACACAGAAUCCGAAACAGGCUCCGGGCUCUGAGCUGUCAGCACAGAGCCCGACGCGGGGCUCGGACCCACGAACUCUGAGGUCAUGGCCUGAGCCGAAGUCGGACGCUUAACCGACUGAGCCACCCAGGCGCCCCUCGUGGGGACACAUUCUUACAUGGAGAAUGGCAAUCAGCGAGCAAAUCCGAUUCACUUCACAGAAGUUGACUCCCAGCCUCCUGGGAGAAAAGAGAGCGGCUCUGUACAAGAGGUGCUUUGCCGGGGACAGUGUUGACAGUGUUGGCUGAAGGGGUGCAAGCGAUCCCCCUCUGCUGGGGAAAUUGGAGAUGGCCGGGCGGACUGGGUCAUAGCAGAUGGAUGGGGUUUCAGCGGGUGUGGAAGGAAGCAUGUUCCUUAAAGAGCGUGGGAUGAGCCUGGGCUGAGCAGUUAGCAUACAUUUUGCCCGCAGGGGGUGGGGUGGGGCUAGGGCCAGAGGGUCAGGGGGCUAGAGAGGUGGGGCUUGGGGAUGUGAACGGAAGGGGGGGCAGGCACAGCGAAUCGGGGUGGGAGGGGGUCUGCCUCAUCCACUGGGUGGACAAAGGGGGGCCCUCCCUGAGAUGCCGAACCCAGGGAAGGUCGGUUCUGGGGAAAGACGCUGAGCUCCACUGGGGGACAUGAUGAACCUGAAGGGCUGUGGGGGGGGGGGGGGGGGGGGGGGGAGGUCCAGGUGAUCACUGGGGAGACGUGAUUAGGCAGAAUAUAAAGCGAGAUAUUGCAAAUCUUUUUUUUUUUUUCCUUCUCUGGAAACUGUGAGGAAAGUAGGGGAGGUUUAUUUAUUUUUAAUUCAAAAAUUUUAACUGUAUUUAUUUUGAGAGAGCGCGCGAGCGAGCAGGGAAGGAGCAGAGAGGGGAGGAGAGAGAGGAUCCCAAGCAGGCUCUGAGCGGUCAGCGGUGAGCCAGAGGCAGGGCUGGAACUCACAAACUGUGAGAUCAUGACCUGAGCCGAAGUCAGGGGCUUAACCGACUGAGCCACCCAGGCGUCCCCAAGGCGGGGAACCAUUAUCAUUCCCAUUUUAUAGGUGAGGAAACUGAGGCUCCCAAGGUCCAGUGGCUUUCCUGACGAGACACUCAGUUGGUGCCGGCAGAGCUGGGAUCGGAUCCCAGGUCCGCCUGCUUCGGCCCAUUGCUCAUCGGCCCCCCCACUAGAUUACACCCCCUCCUUCCGCCAUACCCACUUUGGGAACCACCAAAAUGUGAUGAAAGUCCCUCCUUUGUUUUGGAAAUCGACGUGGAGCAAGCAGAGGGAGAAGGAAACACGGACUCCAUGGCACAGGGGCUCUGAGGCCCAGCCGUGUCUACACUUGCCCGACUUCUUGGCACCACUGGCUGCCUCACCUUUCAGGCUCUCGUUGACCGCAUCUGUUUGGAUCCAUGAAUUGUUGGAUCCAAGUUUUGCUCUCCCUCGUCCCCCACCCCCACCCCAGUGAUCUCCAGGGUCUCCCAGAAGCCCUUUUCAUGUUUGGAUAUUUUUUCCAGUCUCAUUUUCUGCUACUCAUUUUUCUUCUCUGUCUUCUCACAAAUACCCUUAAGUUUCAGGAAAUCAGAGCGACUCACUUUUGCCAUCGCAUCCUGUGUUUUCCUGCACCCAGACCUUCGCUUGGGCUGCUCCCUGCUGCCUUGAAGUUUCUUUCCUCAUCUUAGACGCACACCUCCGAAUCCUGCCUGUCUUUCUUUUUUUUUUUUUUUUUUUUAAAUUUUUUUUUUUUCAACGUUUAUUUAUUUUGGGGACAGAGAGAGACAGAGCAUGAACGGGGGAGGGGCAGAGAGAGAGGGAGACACAGAAUCGGAAACAGGCUCCAGGCUCUGAGCCAUCAGCCCAGAGCCUGACGCGGGGCUCGAACUCACGGACCGCGAGAUCGUGACCUGGCUGAAGUCGGACGCUUAACCGACUGCGCCACCCAGGCGCCCCGUGCCUGUCUUUCAAAAGCCCUACCUCAAUGCCCCUCCUCUAGGAGGCCCCCUUGGAUCCCCCUCACACCUCCCCGAGCAUAGCCUCCCCCCUCUCACCAUUCCCUUUGAGGGUAGUUUUGUGGUUCCUGGACACAUGUCUCUGGAAUGAUCUCCUUCAAGGCAGAGGCUGCAUGGGGUUUCUCUCUCUAUCCCGCCCACUGCCUGGUCCAUAACCUACCUCAAUAAAUGUUAAAUGGAUGAAUGAUUUCCUUUCCUUCUUCUUGAGGACUCUAGACCACUGGUCUGCGCAUGACCUCGUGCUUGCAAUAGCCUGACUUCUUAAAGACCCCAGGCUGUACCCGACAACAGCCCCUUUCUAUGGGGUUUAAAUGUCAGGUAUCCCCCACAGAAGCAAAACAGACAUUCAUCUGAAGUCCCCCCCCCCACUCUUUCAGCCUGUGGGAGCUCUGAAGCUUCAGCUUACCUGGACGAAUUGCGUUUGGCUGUGGCUUGGAACCGCGUGGACAUUGCCCAGAGUGAACUCUUCCGAGGGGACAUUGAAUGGCGGGUGAGGGGGCGGAACGGGGUGGGGGGUGGUGGUGGCGGCUGUGGAUCCUGACAAGGAGGAUGCACUCUCCUCCCUCCCUGACUUCUUCCACAUCUGACUCGCCCUUGCAUUGUGGCCUGUCCAGCCUUCUCUUAAUUGUCCAUCUGUUCCGUCUUGUUUCCACUAUCCCCAUCCAUCCAUCCAUCCAUCCAUCCACUCACCCACCCACCUACCCAUCCGUGGUGCACUCUUGGCUCUGUACCCCAUCUCUUGUCCUUAACGUCUGCCCUCCGCGGGCCUUCUGUCUUCUGUGCUCUUCUCUUACCCCAUCAAUCCUCGCCCUGCCAGUCCUUCCACCUGGAAGCCUCCCUCAUGGACGCCCUCCUGAACGACCGGCCCGAGUUCGUGCGCUUGCUCAUCUCCCACGGCCUUAGCGUGGGCCACUUCCUGACCCCGACGCGCCUGACCCAGCUUUACAGCGCCGCGCCCGCCAACUCGCUCAUCCGCGGCCUUCUGGAGCAGGCGUCCCACGGCGCCGGCACCAAAACCCCAGCCCUUACACCCUCUGGGGAGCCCCGACCCCCUGACGUGGGGCAGGUGCUGCGGCUGCUGCUGGGGGAGACGUGCGCGCCGAGGUACAGCGCCGGGGGCGUCGUGGAUCCCCACCGGGGCCAAGGCUACCAGGAGAGCGUAAGGACCGAGCGAGGCCAGGCUGCGCGGGGAGGAGGUGCCGAAGGACCUGGGGGCGGGGCCGGGGAGGGGUGUGCGCCCGGACGGGGGUGGGGCUGAUGGCUGGGGGCGGGGUCAGGGAGGGCCAGUCCUCACCACGCCUCCCUCGCCGCAGAAGUGCCUGCUGAAGGACAAGGCCCCGUCGGAACUCACGCUGGACGCCGUCCUCGGGCAGGCCCCCUGGAGUGACCUGCUCCUCUGGGCGCUGCUCCUGAACAGGGCUCAGAUGGCCCUGUACUUCUGGGAGAUGGUGAGUGCUGACGUGAUCUCCGAUUCUACUUUUCUCUGUGUCCCGCCCUGUCCUUUAUUUCUACUGGACCCCAGUGCCUGGCCCCUGACGUCACCCCCACCCCCACCCCCACCCCCGUUCGCCAUUCCUGAUAGAUGACGCCAUCCCCUGCUUCUCCACCCGCCCCACCCCCAGUAUCACGCCUUUCUCCUGACUUGUCGUUUCCAUCAGCAAUAUAUAUUGGGCGUUUUCCCUUGUCCAUACACGGGACUCCGCCUCAUUCUCUCGGAAUGGUUACCUCCAAGGGGAAGUUAGAAGGUUAUCUGGUAGCCGAGGGGGAGUCAUUUAAACAUAGUUACACCUGGAAAAUCGAGAUGCAUCGUGGUAGUGGCCAUGUCGAAGGGGACAAAACCCGAGGCAAGGACACCAGCUAAGAAGGUGAAUCUGGAGGCCUCCAGGCAGCCAAGAUGAGGGCCUGGACUAAAACAGGUGCGAUGGAGGUGUUGGGACCCAUUGGAGAAGCUUGAGAAGUUUUUAAAGAGAAAGAAAGAAAAAAAGAAGAGUCGGAGGGUUUGAGGAGGAUCUAAGAUUGAGCCUAUUUUUAUAGCACAGAAAUAUCUUAACAGGACUUCUUCAUCCUUGGGUUGUUUUCAGCCCAUCAGGCCAUGGCUUAAAUAUAGAAUUAAAAAAAAUAUAUGUUUUUUAAUGUUUGUGUUUGAGAGAGAAAGAGACAGCACAAGCAGGGGAGGGGCAGAGAGAGGGAGAGAGAGGGAGACACAGAAUCCGAAGCAGGCUCCAGGCCCUGAGCUGACAGCGCAGAGCCCGAGGCAGGGCUUGAACCCACCACCCGUGAGAUCAUGACCUGAGCCAAAGUCAGACACUUAGCCGACUGAGCUACCCAGGGGUCCCCCCCCCCCAUUUUUAAUAUUUAUUUUUGAGAGAGAGCACAAGUGGGGGGCAGAGAGGGGCAGAGAGAGAGAGAGAGAGAGAGAGAGAGAGAGAAUCUGAAGCAGUUUCCAGGCUCUGAGCUGUCAGCACAGAGCCUGACUCAGGGCUCAGACUCACAAACCAUGAGAUCAUGACUUGAGCUGAAGUCGGACGCUCAACCGACUGAGCCACCCAGGGGCCCUUAGAUUUCUUUUUUCAUCGAGAUCAAAUUCAUCUAAUAUAAAAUUCACCAUUGGAACCACUUAAAACUGCACAAUUCAAUAGCCUUUAGUAGGCUCGCAGUGUUGGUUCAACCUCUAGUUCCAGGACGGUUUCAUCAUCCCAGAAGGAAACCCCCAACCCAUUUGACACUCGCUCCCCAUUCCCUCCUCCCCCAGCCCCUGGCAAUGACUAAUCUGCUCCCGGUCUCUAUGGACCUGCCCAUUCUGGAUACUUUAUAGAAAUGGAAUCAUCUCUGAUGUGGCUUUUUUUGCACUUGACUUCUUAUGCUUAGUAUAGUGUUUUUGUGGGUCAUCCCGGCUUGUAGGUAUAGGCGUGCUUCCUUCUAUUUUGCAUCUGAAUAAUAUGCCCUUGUAUGGAUACGCCACGUUUUGUUUAUCCAUUCAUCUCUUGCUGGUCGCAUGGGUUGUUUUGACUUUUUUGGCUAUUGUGAAUAAUAGUGCUGUGAACACUGGUGUGGAAAUACCUGCUCGGGUCCCUCCUUCCCGUUGUUUUGCGUAUAUACUGAGGACUCCAAUUGCUGGAUCAUAUAGUAAUUCUGGGUUAAAUUUUUUGAGGCACUGCCGUUCUAUUUUCCAUAGUGGCCGCACCAUUUUACAUUCCCGUCAGCAGUGUGCAGGGGUUCCAAUUUCUCCACAUCUCCACCACCCCUGUUAUUUUCUGUUUGUUUGUUUGUUUGUUUGUCUGUUUUUUAGAACUGGCAUCCUAAUGUGGUUUCGAUUUGUGUUUCCUUAAUGAUUAAUGACACGGAGCAUCUUUUCAUGGGCUUAUUGACCAUCCGUUUAUCCUUGGAGAAAUGUCUAUUCAAGUCCUUUGUCCAUUUUAUAAAUUGGUUUGUUUAUCUUGUUGUUGUUGUUGUUGUUGUUGUUGUUGUUGAAUUGUACGAGUUUUUUAUAUGCUCUGGAUAUCAAUCCCGUAUCAGGCAUAUGACUUGCAGAUAUUUUCUCUCUUGCUGUGGAUUGCCUUUUCAUUCUGUUGACAGUGUUCUUUGAUUCACAAAAGUUUUAAAUUUUGACCAAGUCCAACUUGUCUUUUUUCUUUGUUUUUGCUUUUGGUGUCAUAUCUAAGUAACUAUCGCUAAAUCCAAGGUCAUGAAGUUUUAUCCCUGUGUUAUCUUCGGAGGGUUUUAUGGUUUUGUAAUUAUAUGAACUAUAACUAUUUAAUCCUACACGUUAGUCUUACUGAGAUUCCCCAUGUGUGAUCAGUCACUUCUCCUUUGCUGAUCUUACGAGUCUCUGGUUUUGGCUUUUGACAAUUUGAUUAAGAUGUUUUUCAGUGUGAACCUCUUUGAAUUUAUCCUACUUCGAGUUCCUUGCUCUUGCACGUACAGAUUCAUGUCUUUCAUCAAAAUUUGGGGAGUUUUCCUCCAUUAUAUCUUGAAAUAUUCUUUCUAGCCAUUUCUCACGGUCCUCUCCCUUUGGGACUCCUAUUAUACAUAUAUUGGUGUGGUUGAUAGUGUCCCACAGGUCUUCUAGGUUCUGUUUAUUUGUCUUCAUUCUUGUUUCUCUCUGCACCCCAAACCGGAUCGUCUCAACUGAUCUGUCUUCAAGUUCAUGCGUUCUUUCUUCUGUCUCCUCAAAGCUGAUGUUGAGCCCUUCUAGUGCAUUUUUCAUUUCAGUUACUGCACUUUCUAGCUCCAGAAUUAUUACCUUUGUUUUUGUUUUUUGUUUUCUGGUAAUUUCUGUUUUUUUAUUCCUAUUCUCUAGUAAGACAUCCUUCUCCUGGCUUUCUUGAGUUUUUGUCCAUGAUUUCCUUUAGCUCUUUGAGCACAUUUCAGGCAAUUAAUUUAAAGCCUUUGUCUAGUAAGUCUGGUGUCUCAGCUUCUGCAGGGACGGUUUCUGUUUCUUUUUUUUUCCCUGAUACUGUGCCAUACUUUCUUGUUUCUUUGCCUGCCACAUCGUUUUGUUUUGUUUUAACUGGGCAUUUUGAAUAAUAUAGUGUGGCCGCUCUGGAAGUCAGCUCACCCCCUUCCUUCAGGGUGCGUUGUGGUUUGUUGUGUUGACGGUGGUGGUGUUUGUUCAGUGACUUUUCUAAGCUCUUUUGUAAAGUCUUUAUUCUUUGUCAUGUGUGGCCCCUGAAGUCCCUGUUCCGUUAGGUUAGUGGCCCGCUAGUGACUUGACAGAGAAAUCCUUAAAUGCCCAGGGCCUGGGAGGGGGGGACGGGGGAGGGGCCCAACACUCCUGGUUUGCAGAUUGGCUCUGUGUUGGAGCUGUCUUUCUUUUUCUUUUAAAAAUUUUUAAUGUUUAUUUUUGAGAGAGAAAGAAAGAGCGCAGGGGAGGGGCAGAGAAAGAGGGAGAGAGAGAGAUUCCCAAGCAGGCUCUGCGCCAUCGGCACGGAGCCCGAUGUGGGGCUCGAACUCACAAACCCCGAGAUCGUGACCUGAGCCGAAACCAAGAGUCAGACACUCAACUGGCUGAGCCACGCAGACACCCCUGGAGCUGUCUUUCGACACUCAGGCAGGCUGUUUGCCAUUCUGCCUUAGCCUUCACUUCCUGCUUUUGCUGACACAAAAGGUCGGCAAGAGGUGAAAAGUUAGGGUUUUCUCGAAUCUCUUCUGAGCCUGCACCAUCUCAGUCAUGCAUGUAGCCUUCUAGAUUCCCUGAGACACGUAGGAACUCCUCAAACCCUUAUUCCUUCAACUCUCCUCUCCCCCAGCCGCUUCCCUCCCCAGCUGCUGAGUAUAUUUAUCUUUCGUUCGCCUCGACUGUUAUUUUUUGCCUCAGGCGGCUGAGGCUAAUCUAUUUGUCCUUAAAUGCUUUCUGACACCGCCCGGGAAGCCAUUUCUGGUUGGGGGAAGCCCCGAGAACCUUGAGACAAAACGCAGGCCCUCGAGCUGUUCCUUCAGAUAGCCACCAGCUAAAUCCACACGGGCACACAACCACAAUUAUUUAAGGAGAAGAUCUGAAUCUCCCUCUGGUACCAACAGCUUGCACCAGGAACAGGCCGCCCUUGAGCCGGGGUGUUGACAGUGGUAGUUAAAAUGUCACAGCGCUCUUUUGCCCAAACUUGGUGUUUUCUUUCUUCGUUGAACUUUCUCCUAUUUGUUGUAAGUUUUAUAGUCCGGUCUUGGACUCUGAGAAAGUUGGUUCUGACAGUUUUUGCCAGCUUAUCUGUUGCUUUUUGGAGAGACAGAGUUUUGAAAUUCCGUACUCUGCCAGUUUAGGGGACAUUUCUUCCAACUGCUGCUUGACCUGUCUGAAACCUCUGAGGUCAUUUGAACUCUACCCCAGCCCCGCUCCCUGAACUAUCUGACUUUUUUUUUUUUUUUAAGUUUAUUUAUUUAUUUUGAGAGAGAGCUCGCGUGCACGAACUGAGAGAAACAGGGAGAGAAUCCCAAGCGGGCUCCGUGCUGUCAGCACAGAGCCUGAUGUGAGGUUUGAUCUCAUGAAGUGUGAGAUCAUGACCUGAGCCUAAAUCAAGAUUCGGAUGUUUAACCCACUGAGCCACCCGGGUGCCCCUGAACUUCCUGACUUUUGACAUUUUCACCUGAUGCCCAGAUUCACCUACAAACAUUGCUUCAAUCUUGGCCUCUGAUGACCCUGGUUAAUUUCUCACUUCUGGCUCUGUCCUUUCCCUUGACCACAGGCUUCCCCCCCCCCCCCCCCCCCCACCACCUUCCGUGAGCCUCUCUAAACUCAGACUCCAUCUGGGGGGUGGCUCAGUCCGUUAAGAAUCCGACUUCAGCUCAGGUCAUGAUCUCAUGGUGUGUGAGUUCCGCCCCGCGUCAGGCUCUGUGCUGACAGCUCAGAGCCCGGAGCCUCCUUCGGAUUCUGUGUCUCCCUCUCUCUACCCCUCCCGCGCUCAUGCUCUGUCUCUCUGUGUCUCAAAACUAAUAAAUAAAACAUUGAAAAAAAAAAACAACAAACUGUGACCCGUAUCCAUGACCCCUCUCUCUGUCUCUUCAGGGCUCCAACGCCGUGGCCUCGGCUCUCGGGGCCUGUUUGCUGCUCCGCGUGCUGGCGCGCCUGGAGUCUGAGGCGGAGGAGGCGGCCCGGAGGAAGGACCUGGCGGCCAAGUUUGAGGGCCUGGGUGUUGGUGCGUCAGGCACGCGUGCGUGGGGGCGGAGACAGGGAGCUGCCUUGAGGGGUGUGCGCGUCCCCCCCACUCCUCCUCGCGCGGCCCUGCGCCUUCCCCUUCGGUCCCCUCGUCCUUCCCCGCACACCGCGCCCUCGCUCCUUCUCUUCCCUCAUUUAUGUCUCCCGCCCCCAGACCUUUUCGGGGAGUGCUACCGCAGCAGCGAGAAACGGGCCGCUCGCCUACUGCUCCGCCGCUGCCCGCUCUGGGGGGAUGCCACCUGCCUGCAGCUUGCCAUGCAGGCCGACGCCCGUGCCUUCUUUGCCCAGGACGGGGUCCAGGUGAGCCCCUGAGGUGCCGGCAUCCUCAACAGUUCCCACCUGGACUUUGGGAUGCAUGGAGGAUAAGCCCCUGCCACUGCGGGCAGCGAAUGGACUUGACCGGCCUCCCGCUGGGAGACCACCCACCCUCCAGAAAUUCUCAGCCCUCUCCCAGAAGGGCUGCUCUUUCAGAAGAAGCCCCACCCCCUGCCACGGGAAAGCCAACCUUCCCACAGCAAAGCCCACCCUCCUAAAAAGCUCCCUCCGCGAUAGGGAAAUUCCUGGUGGCUUUAGGAAGUCCCCUCUGGCACGCAGGAAGUCCUCCCCACUCCCACGGGAAGUCUCACUCCUCCCAACGGAAGCCCUGCCUCCUCCACAGGAAGGCCUUCCUGCUUCCUUUGAGAGGUCCUCAGUUCCAGGUCUCAGCAGUUAGAAUGACCUCUCUGGACAGUUACCUAGUGUUUUGGACAGAGAUGAACUCUGGUUUAGGAAUCCCACCCUUCCCCCCCCGGGGAAAUCCUCUCCUUUGGGAAGCCCUGCUUGGCUCACGGUCGCUCCCAUCCUGACCAUCCUGACGUUUUAAAACCUUUCCCACUAUCAAUCUAAAGCUGAACAGGGGUGGGGCACCUGGCUGCCUCAGUGACUCUUGAUCUCAGGCUCAGGGUGGUAAGUUCAAGCCCCAACGUCGGGCAUAAAGCUUACUUAGAAAAAAAAAACACACACACACCUGACAGGGGCUCAGAGAAUCCCACCCUCAGUACAGGAAGUCUGCCCACCCCAACCGGAAGUCCUGUCCUCCCCUGUCCGGAAGGAUUUGUCUGGCAUUUCAAGUAGUUACCCAGAGUCCUUUGCUUUGAAUGGUGGUGACACUCGUGAGUUCCAGCUUGGGUCUCUUCCUUAACCUCUCCGUGCCCCAUCUGUGAAAUGGGAGAAAAUACUAGUCAGUACCUGUUCUCCUGGGGGUGGGGUGGGGUGGGGGUGGGGGAGGGGGUGGUGAGAGUUCAGUGAUCUCAUCUAUGUAAAAUGCUUCACCUGGUAUCUAGCAUAUUGUGUUAAUAAAUGUUGGUUUUGUAACUCUACCCGCUAAAACCUGGGACAGGUCCUCCUCACCUUUGACCCUCCCCCCCCCCCCAAAAAAAAGUUACGGCCGCCAUAUUGGGCGCUUGCUCUGUGUGCUGCAGCUGUUGCCCAGUUCUUCCCUGGGGUCUUUGGAAAGGGGCUGUGGGGAGAUUCAGGCUCUGAACCCUCCUCACACCCCACAGUCUCUGCUGACACAGAAGUGGUGGGGGGAGAUGGACAGCACCACUCCCAUCUGGGCCCUGGUUCUCGCCUUCUUUUGCCCCCCACUCAUCUACACCAACCUCAUCACCUUCAGGUCAGUCCCUGGGGUCCGACCGGCAGGAGGGGGGUGGUGCUCAGUUUGCCCUUCCUGCUCACAUCUGGCUGCCUCCCCACUUGGUCUGUCCAGUGCUUCCCCUCCCCGUUCGCUCUCUUUCCCUCCCCAAGACUGGGGGCGUGUCUGGGAGGUGAGCUUCCGGGGGGGGGGGGGGGGAGAUCCCUUUGGGGUGAGUCUAGGAAAGUUCCUCGCUGUCUCCCUGCCAGUGUCUCUGGGUGAAGAAGUUUGGGUCUGUGUCUGGAGAAUUCCUCCUGCGCUUGCCCCGUCCCCGUUCCUCACCCUGCGUUUUCCUCCAUGCCAGGAAGCCAGAGGAGGAGUCCACACAGAAGGACCUGGCCUUUGACGUGGAUCGGGGCGUCAACGGGGAAGGCCCC
rnacentral:lncRNA from 1 species